rnacentral:rRNA from 1 species
CUGGGGAAUACGGGCGCAAGGGUAAAACUCAAAUGAAUUUACGGGGGCCCGCACAAGCGGUGGAGCAUGUGGUUUAAUUCGAUGCAACGCGAAGAACCUUACCUACUCUUGACAUCCAGAGAAUUCUCUAGAGAUAGCUUAGUGCCUUCGGGAACUCUGAGACAGGUGCUGCAUGGCUGUCGUCAGCUCGUGUUGUGAAAUGUUGGGUUAAGUCCCGCAACGAGCGCAACCCUUAUCCUUUGUUGCCAGCGCGUAAUGGCGGGAACUCAAAGGAGACUGCCGGUGAUAAACCGGAGGAAGGUGGGGAUGACGUCAAGUCAUCAUGGCCCUUACGAGUAGGGCUACACACGUGCUACAAUGGCGUAUACAAAGAGAAGCGAACUCGCGAGAGCAAGCGGACCUCAUAAAGUACGUCGUAGUCCGGAUCGGAGUCUGCAACUCGACUCCGUGAAGUCGGAAUCGCUAGUAAUCGUAGAUCAGAAUGCUACGGUGAAUACGUUCCCGGGCCUUGUACACACCGCCCGUCA